AUUAAACGCUGGCGGCAUGCCUUACACAUGCAAGUCGAACGGCAGCACGGGGGCAACCCUGGUGGCGAGUGGCGGACGGGUGAGUAAAGCAUCGGAACGUAUCCUGGAGUGGGGGGAUAACGUAGCGAAAGUUACGCUAAUACCGCAUAUUCUGUGAGCAGGAAAGCAGGGGAUCGCAAGACCUUGCGCUCUGGGAGCGGCCGAUGUCGGAUUAGCUAGUUGGUGGGGUAAAGGCCUACCAAGGCGACGAUCCGUAGCGGGUCUGAGAGGAUGAUCCGCCACACUGGGACUGAGACACGGCCCAGACUCCUACGGGAGGCAGCAGUGGGGAAUUUUGGACAAUGGGCGGAAGCCUGAUCCAGCCAUGCCGCGUGAGUGAAGAAGGCCUUCGGGUUGUAAAG
rnacentral:rRNA from 1 species